GAUGAACGCUGGCGGCGUGCUUAAUACAUGCAAGUCGAACGGAGAUAGUAGCAAUAUUAUCUUAGUGGCGAACGGGUGAGUAACGCGUUGGUGACCUGCCCCGAAGAGAGGGAUAGCAGUUCGAAAGGACUGAUAAUACCUCAUGUGGUUGUUGGUUUUAGAAUCUGACAACUAAACGGAUUUAUUCGCUUCGGGAGGGGCCUGCGUCCCAUCAGCUAGUUGGUAGGGUAAUGGCCUACCAAGGCGAUGACGGGUAGGGGACCUGAGAGGGUGGCCCCCCACAAUGGAACUGAAACACGGUCCAUACACCUACGGGUGGCAG
rnacentral:rRNA from 1 species